rnacentral:rRNA from 1 species
GUACGGGAAGGGCAGCGUUGUUCGGAAUCAUUGGGCGUAAAGGGCGUGUAGGUGGUUCUGUAUGUCUACCGUGAAAGCGUACGGCUCAACCGUAUUUAGUCGGUAGAAACUGCAGGACUUGAGGCUGGGAGGGGCUGGUGGAAUUCCCCGUGUAGCGGUGAAAUGCGUAGAGAUGGGGGAGAACACUCGUGGCGAAGGCGGCCAGCUAGACCAGUUCUGACACUGAGGCGCGAUAGCGUGGGGAGCAAACAGG